CCUACGGGCGGCAGCAGUAGGGAAUCUUCGUCAAUGGGCGCAAGCCUGAACGAGCAAUGCCGCGUGAACGAGGAAGGUCCUCGGAUCGUAAAGUUCUGUUGAAGGGGAAAAAGAGCGGAGAGAGGAAAUGCUUUCUGAUUGAUAUUACCCUUCGAGGAAGUCACGGCUAACUACGUGCCAGCAGCCGCGGUAAUAAGUAGGUGGCGAGCGUUAGCCGGAAUGAGUGGGGGAAAAGGGUGAGUAGGCGGCCUGCUAAGUCUGGAGUGAAAGGUACCGGCUCAACCGGUACAGGCUCUGGAAACUGGCGGGCUAGAGGGCAGGAGAGGGCGGUGGAACUCCAUGUGUAGCGGUAAAAUGCGUAGAUAUAUGGAAGAACACCAGUGGCGAAGGCGGCCGCCUGGCCUGUUACUGACGCUGAGGCACGAAAGCGUGGGGAGCAAAUAGGAUUAGAUACCCUGGUAGUC
rnacentral:rRNA from 1 species